CUGAGUUCUGAUAGUUUCUCGGUUUGGAUUUCAGUAUCGCAUAGGAAGUUGUCGCGAGCGCUUGCUUGGUGGAGCUUGGUCGAAUAGCAAUAGAGGAAUGCAAAAGGCAAACGUUUGCCGCAACCAACGCAAAAAUCACUCACCCGCAAUACCAAUGCAAUUUCGAUAAGAAAAAAUGGUUUUCGCUACCGCUGAGUCUAUCUACAAAUAAACAAACAAACGUGUGCGCAUAUAUAUUUAAAAUACAACACAACGAAAGUUGUCAAUUUGUGAUGUGUUUUUUGUUAUUUUUUUGUAUAUUCCUAAAGUGAUGCAAUACAAUUUAUUAAAAAAGUUAGUUCAUGUAUGUUUACUGAAUAGUGCAACUAAAUCCAAAGAGGCGCUGCAGCGAACCGUGGAAAUAAAACAAAAGCAAAAUCUUCAAGGAUCUUAAACCAAUUUCAAUUUUUAUCUUAAAAGCGCAGAAAUUGCAUAAACAAUAUUUCAUUUACUUACACAUAGAUCAAGAUAAAAAAGGGUGCAUAAGUAGAGAUAUCCCUAACGUUCGUACACAUCUACACACACACUGGACAUAUGCAAAAUGCGCGGGCCCAUACAACUUACUUAAUUUAAGCUAAAGCGAUGAUACUCUCUGAUGAAUACGGUGAAUGUGUGUUUUUUUGAAAACUGGCAAUGAAAGGAAACAAAAACGUGCACCUUAUAGGCUUCCGGUCUUCUUAGAUAUUCAGCGGCUUGAUGCCAGUUUGUUUCUAUUAAUCUUAGUAUUUCUAUUAUAUAGUGGGUCUAAAAGGAUUUCAAAACUUCCGCCCCUCAACAGGAAAACAGAAAUGUAACUUUGUCAUCGGCUGUUACUCUAUAUAUAAUAAACAUGAUAGCGACAUACUAACUGUAUUUUAAAGACCCUAUAGAGAUUCACACAUAUUGCUCUCAGUCUAAAGGUUUUUCAUUGCUGAUAUUUGGGUGAUGUUUUGCUUCUGUUUGUGGUUGUCAUUUUAUAUUAAAAUAUAUAGUACUCAGUGAAGAAACUACAAUUUUUAUAUACCCAUGUGUCGCAAUACUACUAAGCACGAGACUGUAUUAUAUUGAUUUUAGGAUCAUAGGUCGAUUGCAUCAUAUUGCCAUAGAUCUGAGACUAUAGGAAACUCUGAUUUGUCUAGCAGUAUGGGUCAGGGUUACCAUCUAGAAUGUUCAUUAUUACGUCCGUUGUGUUUCACAAAUUAAUUCUGUUAAUAAUAUGCCGGUUUUAUUAAUGGAAUAUAGGUUUAUUUUAUUGUUGUUAUUGUGAUGUUAUACAAAUACAAAGUUCGAAUUUAGCUUUGAGAAGAAAAUGUACUGACCAUAGAAUUUUUUUGUAUCGUUGUGAAAAAAUCAAUAAAACAAAUAUUAAUUCAUCUCUGGUAUAGAACCAGACAUCUUAAUAGUCCCUAAAUAUACUAUUUUCUGCCCCGUUGAACAGGUGAGGGCGCAAGAAAUUAGUGCCAUCGUUGCACUUCGCUUACAUGUCUACUUCAUGUGAUAAAGAUGAUGCUAAUAGUUGUAUCUUAUAUGUAUAUAUUAUAUGAAUGUAUAAUUCAUAUGAAAUAUCUUCUGUUAUUCACUUCUUUAUGCUUUCUAUUGAUUACCAAUUUAGAGCGUCUACUUUAUUUCAACGAGUUUUUAUUCUCUUCUUGAUUUAUUUCUUUUUAUUCCAUCGAAUUUUUACGCUUUCGAUUUCCAUCAAUCAAUGCUGAUCGAGUUCAAUAAAAUGCUAGCAAGUUAGAUUCAUUGUAUAGUGAAAAUUUCUACCAUUAUCAACCCUCCGUCCACUUCGGACCCACAUUAAGGCUUUCAAUACGUACUCAUUGUUUAUUCGACUUUAUUUGUUGAAAUUAUAGCAUGCCCCGUGAGAGCAUUUGGAGCGAUGUAGCUCAUGAAAUUCACAAUAUUUGUUGCUAAUGGAGGCAGGAGAAAUAGCUUUGACGCUGUCGGUGACUGCGGCAGAGACGCUCAAAAUUACCACUAAUUGCGGUCACGUGUUUUCGAUUGCUGUAGCAGCGAUCUAACUCGUUGUAUAGAUCUACAAUAUGCGAAAUACGAGUACUGUUUUGCAAAACGAAUUCAGGGGAGGCUUUAACUAUGCGUGUUUUGUGUGGAAGGGGUUUGAAUUGAAAGUCUCUGAGCUAUUCAUGAAAUGAAAAGAUCAGAUUCAAAAAUUAUGUGUUAGUAUUCGUGUUUAUUAAAUACAUGUUUUUAUAAAUAAAUAGAUUGACGUAUGUUUGCAAUUGAGUCAUGGAAUAUAUUAAAACCCUCCAGUGCAAUAUAAAAUUCACGAUGUUACGGUCAACACCGAUUUAUGUACAUACAUAUAUGUACAUAUGUAUGCAAGGAGAGUCGGUUUCAAUAUAUGUAUGUAAUAUAUUCGGGUUUCUCACUUAACUAGUUAUAUUAGUUGAAACCUCCUAGCUUAAGUCCUCGCUAUUAUUAUUGGAAGGCUACUCAUUUGAAUUCAAUUAAACCUUUUCGCAUUAGCUUUUUGUCCCACCAAAAUAAUUAGUGUCAGUGUCAGGUUUUCAUAGAAUAGCUGUUCGCUUGAACAUUCAUAAGACAGCCGAAGAGAUCGGAUGCUUUCAUCAUCUCUGUGUAAUAACCUAGGGUCAGAAUGCAUCUGGACGGAAGUUGAAGAAUUUCAUUACUCGUUACCGCCAUAUCUUCAAAUGCUGUUUUUUUUAUAGAAAUAAUGGGUCGUUACUCUAAUCUAUUUGUGCAUUUUAUAUAUAGUGGCUUUAUAUAUGCAAAGUAAAUUUCUUCAAUAGCGCCUUUGUCUCUGAGGAAUUUAUAAUGUUCUACGUACAUAUAUUAUUUGUUGCUAAUACCUUCCACGAAGACAGGGAUCCAUGGACACAGUGAUUGUUAAUUAGAUUUGAAAGUGAUGCAAACAAACGAACUCAAAGAGAACUUAUUUCGGAAUUGAAUUUAUCAAUAUUAUUGUUGUAAGCCCAAGGGAUUCAGCUGUUUGCGAUAUAAUACAUACACACAUAUGUAUGUAUAUAACUCUUACAAGAAGUGGUGCUCCUCCGACGGGUAUUCGAAAUUGUAGUUUGUAGCAGGCACGCGGCAGUAAGAAGGAAAAAUAAAAAAAUAAUAAGAAUGUGAAUAAAUUGAAAUCUAAUGAAAUGAAACCGGUGAGCAAUUAAAUUCGUGCUACAAGAACUUAUUUUGAUAUUGAAAAGUCAAUUCAGCCAGAAUGUGUUAUAAAUGUGACUAAAUCAAGACCAAAGCCGUGAGCGCAGCCUUUUUAAUUAAAUUCGUAUCUACAUAUGUUUGCGCAUACCUACACAUGUACCACUUAGUUGGUGUGCGUUUUAGUAGUGCGCAGUUUAGAAACCUAUUGUUGCGCAGUUGGAAUUGGAUUCCGUUAUCAUCACAAUCAUUAUAAUCGGUAUUUAGAUAUCAAUGUUGAUAUACAGCGUUCGCAUUGACAUCUCUGCGAGAUCCCAUCUUGUUGCUUGAGAUAAUGCCAGCUAGAGCUUUCCUAUGCCCUUGAGAAAGGCGUCAGCUUUUCUUAGUCAUAGCCAUAGUUAUAUCCUUAGACAUAGUGUGUGUAGUUAACCGCCAACUAGACGUACAUACCUCAACAGGGCUAAUUGGAAUUAAGCCGAUAAAUUCAACGUGUCAACGCGAUCAACUGAAAUUUUUGAUAUCAAAAAGCGAUAACCGUUAUUCGAAUAAUGGAUAUGAAAAUGGAGUUAGUAAGCCAGUCGCAAGAGAUGAGUACCGGUUCGCCAUCGGAGGUGCCAAAUGAUCCAGGGAAAAUGUUUAUCGGCGGAUUAAGUUGGCAAACCAGCCCAGAAAGUUUACGAGACUACUUCAGCAGGUUUGGUGAUAUAUCAGAGGCUAUGGUCAUGAAAGAUCCAACGACGCGGAGAUCCAGGGGGUUCGGAUUUAUAACAUUCAGUGAUCCAGCCAGCGUAGACAAGGUUCUAACACAAGGUACUCAUGAACUAGACGGUAAAAAGAUCGAUCCAAAGGUAGCGUUUCCCCGCAGAGCACAUCCUAAAAUGGUGACGCGAACGAAGAAAAUUUUUGUGGGUGGGCUGUCAGCGCCCACAACACUGGAGGAUGUCAAAAGCUACUUCGAGCAAUAUGGGCCGAUUGAAGACGCUAUGCUAAUGUUCGAUAAGCAGACCAAUCGGCACCGAGGUUUUGGCUUCGUUACAUUUCAGAGUGAGGAUGUGGUAGAUAAAGUUUGUGAAAUUCAUUUCCAUGAGAUCAACAACAAAAUGGUCGAAUGCAAGAAGGCGCAACCAAAGGAAGUCAUGCUGCCGGCCAACUUGGCCAAGACGCGCGCUGCCGGUCGCUCUGCUUACGAUAACAUCAUGUGGGGACUGGGGACACUACCCGAUGGAUUUCCGGCAGCCGCCUAUGCAGCCUAUGCAGCCGGACGUGGUUAUUCGGGAUAUCCAAGCUUCGGUUUGCCUUACCCUGCUGUGGAUCUAACUAAUGGACAACUAACGCCGAACAACAACACUCCUCUUCUCACUCAGGCUCUCUCAGUGAUGAACAACUAUCAAGCUGCCGCUGCAGCAGCCCAUAGCUUUGGACCCUCCGCUUCUCCACACACUGCGACCACACGGCAAGGGUUCCCUUCGACCAACUCUCCUGGGCCCACCAUUGACAUGUACAGCUCAACUGCUGCCGACAACGUUGGAUAUGUACAGGCAACAAGCCCACAGCCUUCUGGAUUUCCCAUAGCUGUGAGUCGGGCGCCAUUAAACUAUAGCCCGAUAUAUUCGUUGAACUUUGCGAUGGCUAACAUAUAAAAUGAAUAAGACUGAUUAACCAACAAAACAUAGUAAGAAAUUUAAGCUGUUGCACAAGGGACCACUGAUUCCUGCGGCCUUUACAAAUGGUUACCAUUAAACAUUGGCGUUGGAUUGCAAAAAUUACUACAUUAGCAGCAACAACAAUAUAAAAACCGCAGUUAUCAGUUAAAACAACUAAUACCGUUAUUGGAUGCAGCAUGCAGUCGAAGAGACAGGAGAAGGUGGAGAAGUUACCAAAAAUCAACACAAAAAUAAUACACCAAAUACAUACAUACAUAUAUACAAAUAUACAUACUAAUAUUAAUAAUAAAUGAAGUUUAUAAAUGAAUAAGUGGAAAGCAAACAAGCCUACAAGCAAAUAGCAAACAGAAAUAAAUUAAUAUUUAUUAAAAUACAUACAAAUACAUAUAUGAAGAUAUACAUAUAUACUUAUGUAAAAUGUGUAUGUGUAUGUAGAAUAUAUUUAUAUUUAAGGAUAUGCAGAUACACAGUCACAUAUCCGUUUAAGCACAAUUAUUGCGUCUGUAUGUAGGAGAAGCAAUGAGUACACAAACAACCACAAUUCUUUUUUUAUGUUCUCUGUUAUAUUGAAUUGCAAUACAAAGUUUGUAUUUUGAUAUUUGAAAAAAGAAAACCACAUUUACACUCUUGCUUCAGUUCAAACUAAGCAAAGUUAUUAAAAUAGAUACAGCAACAAAAUACCAUUGGCAAUUGCGUUGUGAAAUGAAAACUGACGAAGAAAGACGCGAAAUACACCUACAUAUACAUAUGUACGUACAUGAAUAACGGCCAAAUAUACGCAUUAACAGUAACAAAAUAUCAGAGGCAAAAUCAAAAACUUACCCACUAAUAUUAAAUGGCCUUCGACAGUGAUGAAAGUAGCGUUUAAUUAUAGUCAAAUUUAAAGCAUCUGUUGUUGAUCAUUUAUUGAUUGUGUAAAUUCGAAAUCGUUUGCAAAUGCACUGAUUACUGAGGAAGCAAUUGCGAUGCGGUUUUCUAAGCUGGCUUUGCCUUUACGAAAGCUUUCAAUUAAUAGAAAUCAUAGCAAAAACGACUUAUCUAAUAAUGCUUUUCCAAAACAACUUAUCUUUGGGUAAUUUCAUUAAUUUUUAUGAUAUGAAAUGUUUAAAACUAUUGUAAGACCCACGAAGGUCAAAUCUUAAAGCAAGCCACAAUUUGGAAUUGAAGCUCGAACAACUGCUUCAUCAAGUGUUUUGGAUUAAAUGAGCUGCAAAGCUUCCUUUAUUUUGGCUUUUUAAAGUAAAUUUUUACUUCUUAUCUUAUUAAUUCAAAGUAUUUAAUCUCGUUUCAAAUCCUUAAGAUGACAAUUUUCCAGCACAAAAAAUGGAUACUACAAUACUUUUUGUAUUUUAUCAAUCUUGCUAUUGGAUGAGACACAAUAUAAAUAAACAGGGUAACACAUGAAAAAUUAUUUCGAAUUUUGUAAUUUUUUUUAAAAGAAAGUACUCGAUCGUUUAUUUUUCACAAAAAUAUUGAAAAAUAACGGAGUUAUAUGCUGUCUUCGGAGGUGCCAAACAAAAAAGUUACCCAACUGCUGACAUGAUUCCGGCCAAAUAAGUAGCUGAAACAAAAAAAUUCAAAAAGGUUAUUUAAGUUGAAAAUAUUUCCUACACAAUGACCUACGGUUUUUGAAAAAUAUCAAAAAUUAACGAAAUGGCGUAGUUCUGAAAAAAUGUCUUUUUUAAUGCCAAAUUGACAAUUUCAAACAAAUCAAAAAGUAGGCCAUUGUAUAGUAUACAUAUAUUCAAUAAUACCCAGUUUAAAUUUGAAGUCAAUCGAUAAAUUUCUCGUUGUGUUACGAUGUCAACAAUUUUGAGAAAUGACGUUUCGAGAAAAACGCGUUUAAAGUUUCUGUCAAAGCUGUCAUUCAAAAACUAUUCAAGAUACGACCUUACCGCUUUCACAAGAUAUUUUUGAAAGUAUAAACUAUCAAAUAAGCAAAUAAAAAAAAGAUAUUCAAUUAUAUGCUAGCGCCCUUUCGAUGUCUUUUAAAUUUAAAUUGGUUUCAGUUCACACAAACUUUUUUGAACUUCCAUUUAUUACUUAAAAUCUGUAUGCUUAAAACACCGCCAUCACAACGAAAUUGUAGAAGUCAGUUUGGAAACCCCGAAGUCCUUCAAUUCUAAGAUUCUCUUGGAAGCGUGUCAAUGAGUCCUAUGUAAUUUGCCAAAACAAUGCUCCCUCUUUCAAAUUUUGGAGUGGCCAUUUUACAAACGUACACAUAAAUAUAUGUAUACAUUUGUAUGUAAUUACAUACAACAGGCAUAUACUAUUAAAACAAUAAACAAAAUACUUUAACGCAACAAUAACUACCAUAAUUGAAACUUUAUUGAAAUAAAACGCAGCCAACCAACCGCCAUUGCCCUGCGUGAAAGUCAUUGGCGACACAUACAAAAAAAAAACAAAUAAUAACAAAAAGAACAACAACAACAAGAACAAAAUGCAAUUAAAUCCUAGCGUUGCAUUUGCACCUCCAACAGAAACUGAGUGCGCAAUGGAACACUUGCUUUAUACUACCUACAACCAAAACAAAAACAAUAUUUAUGUAUAUGCAAACAUAAAUGUGAAAAGAACAAACCUAGUGGUAAUAAUUUAAAACACCAAUUUUAAUAGUGCGGCACUUCAUACAUACAUACUUACAAUAAAAAUUAAAUAUAUUAAAAACAUUAAUUAAUGAACUUAUAUAUAUAUACAUACAUACAUAUGUGAGGAUUAUUUAAAAAAGCAAAAAAAAUACAAAAAACAAACAAAAAAUGCAAACAAAACAAAACAUAAAAUGAGCAUUAACUAAAACAAAUAUACAAAACAGAAGAAUAUUUAAAUACAAUUACACUUUAUAUGUACAAGUAUAGAAAAUAAAUAAUAAGGACAACAGCGAUAUGUACGAGUGUCAAGUUUCAUGCAGGUGAAACAAAUCGGUGCACAAAUUACAAACGACGACUAACAACAUACAUACGUACUGAGAGAAGGAAAGGAAUCCGGAAAUAAGAAAUGAAAAUCUCUACUCCUACACACACACAUACAAAAGGUGCAAUAAAAGUAGAAACUGAAAGCCGUAAAAUCAAAUUCAACGCAAUGACGACGAUGCCAAACACUGCACACGAAGCUAUUCGGACGGGGAUGACUAAGCGAUAUUGCGUUUGUACUGUACACUGGCAAGGGAAUGAGGGGAAGUAAAAAAAAACAAUUGUUAUAACUAGCAAAUAAUUUGCGUUCGAAGCGGAUGAGGAGAAAAAAUCAUUUAUAAAACAAUAAGCAGUUUGCGCAAAAGCAAAUUAAUAUUCUUACAUACAUACAUACAUAUAUAGUAUACAACUUAUAUAUAUAUUGAAUGAAGCAAAUGAGAAUAUAAAUAUAUAUAUAUAUUAUUGAUAAAAAAACAUUGAAGCAAUGGAGCGGUAAGUCGCAAUUGUAGCACGGUCUACAACCUGAUGCUUGGCCAACCUCAGCGACUGGCAUAAUGCAGUCGUGAGAUACGAACACAACAAGGCAGCGUACAGGAGGAUAUCAUUACAAAACCACUUGAAAUUUAUAAAGACAAAUGAAAAUUAAGGAAAUUUGUAGCUUUUAGAUAGGAUGAAAUUGAGGUAGUGCAACUGCAAAAGCAAACAAAAAAAAUUAAACAAAAAAUCAAAUACAAAACCACAAAACACACAAAUAAAGCAAAUACAAAAAAUUUGAAUUAACUAAAAAGAGCAAAUUUGCAAGUAACAUGUAGGGUGUUACUACAUGUUUUGUUUGUUCCGGCACAUGGUGUGGCAAUAGUGCAAGCACGCUGCGCUUGCGGCGGCAAAUGGCGACAUAAACUAUUGUAUGUACCAGUUAAUUUGUAAAUGGACUCUUAACAGCACUUACUCGUAGUUAGCAAUGGAUGAUGCAUAAUAGUUAGAAGAAGUGUAGGGAAAAGCUAAGCGUUUGCUAGAGAAUGGCUGGCAGCAAAAUUGACGGCAUACAUGCAUUUUUUAGCUAAAUAGCCACAGUGGCUUAAUGAUUGAUCAACUGGCGCCCACGAAUUGUAUGUGGUGGCUUGCAGGGUCAGUCCGACGACGGUGUGAUGAUUAAUUGAAUGACAAUUGUCCAAUGAUGUUACUUUAAAUUAAAGAAAACAAACAGACGCAAAGCUAAUUAAAAAUGAUAAACAAAAACUUCUUACCAAAAUAAUAAUGAAUAUUUAAGGAUAAUGCAAUUUUUUUAACAUAUAAGUAUUUAUUUAUUAACCUGGUUGCUGUGGCAUCCAUUACACUUACAAACACACAUGCAUAUUAUAAAAAAAAUAUUAAUAUGUAAUACACAUGACAUAAUAUACAGAAUUAUAUACAUAUAUAUAUACAUAUAUACAUGCCAACAUACAUACAUACGUAUCCCGUAAUUAUUUUCUAAGGAGCUGUUAUGGCUGGCUGAACUCUGUAAGGGGAAUAUUAAAUCUGUAUUAUUAUGAACUUUUACACACAAUAAAAAUUAAGCGGAAGCCGAAGAAGACAGGUGUGUAAAUUACACAUUUUAAUGGCGUGCGGUUGAUUCAAAUGAAGAUGCACCACAAAGUGUAUGUGAAUAAUAAGGUAAAAAACGUAAUCAGUAAAUACAUGCAUACACAUAAAUAUACAUACAUACAUAUAUACUAUGAACCAAGGCAAAUAUAGAUAUACAUAAAUAUAUAUUUUUAAGAAAUGUUCUAAAAGCAAUAAUUACAAACAACAACAAAGAAAACUAAAUAAAUUAAAAAGAAGAAACCAAAAAAUAUUGUGGAAAAUCUAUGCAUUGGUAAGCAAAAAGUAACCAAUGAGUAAGUGAAUAUAUAGUCUAAUAAUAUAUACAAAAUAUACAUGUAAAACAAAUAUUUAUCUAUUAAUACUAAGCUAAAAUAUUAUUAUACAUAAAGUAUUAAUCUAAAAGUAAAGAAUGAGUAAUUAAAUUUAAGAACGGUACCCUAACAAAAACCUACACUCUGGCAAAAAGAAUGUCGAUGGAAAAAGUAAAUAUGUCUUAAAUAAUUGUCAUCGUUUUGUAUGCAUUUCAAACGUUUCGUUUCCUUUUAAAGAAAUUUUUUACCAAAAAACUCAAGAUAUUUGCAGAAGUAACUUCAAUGCGUUUUAUCAGCUGCUUAUUACUAAGCUCCAACAAAAUUUACGCAAAUAUUGUAUAGUAUCUUUAACUACUUUUCUUUAAAUAAAAUUAAACCAUCCUUAGUAAUUGAAUUUCAUAUUAUAAGUACAAACUCAGUGGAAAAACAUUUACUGUUAGUAAACAGAACUUCGAAGCGUUUCCAAAUCAUUGAUGUUUAUAAAUCAUGUACCAAGGUAUUCUUAAUGUUGACCGAAUGUUGACCCCCUGUUCAAUUCAAUGGUUGGUCAAAUCGUUGGCUAUUCACCUCGAGUAUGUGCUAAUCCACAAACUGUAGUCUAAUCUGUAGUGUUAUCUUGAAUAUUUUAUUAAUCGGGAUCUACUCAUUAUAGAACAUAUGAAAUUGACAGAUUUUGUGAUUAUGUGCAUUACAUAUGCGGUUAGACAAUUUCUGGUUUUAUAAGAAUAUAUUUGUACCUUUCCCUAGACCACACUGCAAUCUUUAGCAGGCUUCUAAAUUUUAUAGGUAAUACUACUCCUUCCAACCUGAGUUUUUCCUUCAACUGCAAUAGAAUUAUUUAAUUAUUUGAGUUCAAAAAUUAUCUGUAAAGUAUUUACUCUUGAUUGAUUAUGCAUUACAAAAGUGAUGUAAUAACUGAAAUUUUGUGGAAAAAAUUAUUACGAUAAAUGACAUGAAUAAUAAGAAUUCACGAAUAGUCAAAUGAAUCGAUACAUGAAAACGCGUCCUUUAGAACAAAAUCAAUUUUAGUCAAUUACAAACCGAAUACAUAUAAUCAUUAAGGUAGGAAAAAGGCAAAUAAACAGUAAAAGUUACGUAUACAUAAAUACAUUACUUAAAUAUGUAUGUAAAAAUAGUUUCUGUUAAGUUUUUAAGAAUUUAUUCAAUUCUUUCUUUUUUGCUAUUAAACUUUUCCAUUAGAACAAAUUUGAACUGUAUUAAAUAGAAAUACGAAAGGCGCAACGCCUCCGCGUUUUUGUAAGCGUUCAAUCGCAAAAGCUUUAAAUACUUGAAGUUUUAUAUUAAUUCAAGAAACACAAAUGCGGUAUGCGCAGGGGUCACCGUACAUACAUACAUAUAUAUAACACCACAAGCCGGUGACACCCCAUGGCAUAGCCGGACUUUUGUCAAUUUAGGCCAAAACAGCAAGUAGAUUAUUAAAGACGAGCUAAAUGAAUACAUGAGGGCACAACCGUAUGCCGCUUGCAUAAAAUGACAAUUUAAAAUACUAAAUACUAACUACUUAAAGAUAACAUAAGAAAUGAUAAAAACAUAAAACUAGCAAUUAAAGGGUACACUUUUUUACUCAAGAACGUAAAGACGUAUAUGAGAACAAAGUUGAAUAUUACGAAGAUAUAUACAUAAAAUAAAACUAUAAAGUAUACAUACACACAUAUCAUUUCUCCUUUUUCUAAAGUCGGCAGACCGUAGAAAAACCUUACAGCAUUUCAUUUACUGUAUUUUACUACAUUAUAUACAUACAUAAUACAUACAUAUGUAGGUACACUUAUGAAGUAUGCAUACGCAAUGCAAAGUUUCGCUUAAGUAUUCACACCUGAUAGCAAAUACGCAAUUAGACACCAAUUAAUCAACCAUUGCGCGUCAUUUGCUAUGUCUCUCAAAGAGCCAAAUGUUAAUUCAAUAUUUGUUGUUUGUAGCUAUUCUGUUUACACGCGACAGUCGCAGCUUAAGACUUUUCUACAAGUGAAAUACAUACUUACAUACAUACAAGUGCACAAACUCCACAGCUUUAAAACUGCAAUUUCUUUUCGCACUUUUAGCAUUUGCCUUACGAAAGCAUGUUCAUGAAGCCUGUGGGCGAUCUGAAAGACAUCACACACCUCUCACGCCUGUCCUUAGCUCACACACAUUCAUAUUUCAUUUCAUUUACCUACGAGCAACGACAAUUUGUAUAAAAUGUAUUUAAAACAAGGAUAUAAAUACAAACUACUUAUAAUUUCAAAAAGUCUACACACACUCAUACACUGACAUGCAUAUACACACCUUUAAAGGAACUCACACGAUUUUGCUAUAUCGAAUUCUUUGCGCGUUCUUCUGCGAUGGAAUUCCUAACAAACACCUUCACUAUAUUGACAAUAUCUUAUAUAUAUAUAAAUAUUUUACACUAUACUAUAUAUAUACAUAUAUAUAUAUAUAUAUAUAUAUAUAUACAAAACACAUAUAUAUAAUCAAUGUAAAGAGAAAAACUUCAAUGGGAAAAGCAAACAUAGUUAAGCAACCAAAUAUAUAUAUAUGAAAGCAAUGUAUUUAUUUACAAGAACCAAAAACGGUGGUAGAUAAAAAUACUUGCUAAUCUCUUCGAAACACAUGGGUAAAUUGUUGAAUGGGAGUGUCAAAUUUGUAAUGUACGAACCGAAGGUAUUUGUCCUUUCACUGCAGUAAUAGUGGGGAAUUAUAACCGUUAAGCGGCACUCUUAUUUGUUGAACAGCACAGAAAGUUGCUGAUAAUUAGAAAAAGAAUUCAAACAUUAUUUUUAUCAUUUCUCAUUUAACUAUCAAUUAUGCAAAGAAGUCAUGAAUUUCAAAUACUAACCGUAACGGAUUAUGAAGAAUUUUUAAUAAGAACUAUUGAACUGUGCUCAGUAUGUGCAUGUAUGUGAAAAUGUACUUACGUUCCCAAAACCAAUAAAUACAUCGAGGGAAAUCUAGUCUUAUCGCAAAUUUUUCCUUUCAUUAUAAGGUAAAGUUGGUCUCCCAAAGUUGGCCUUAUUAACUUUCAUUACCUAACUCGCUGAUAUAUCCUAUUGAGUGUUAGAACGGUUCACUCUCAUAAGAGUAAUCAAAGACACCAGUUGGUCCAAAUUAUCGAGGCUUAUACAGAGAGCCUUAAGUGAAUAUAGUCCUUUUGAAGGUAGGACUUCUCAUUAAAAUUGAAUAGUGUCAGCGCAAUUGCAGCAUUCAUUCUUUAUUCUCUGCUUCCGGUCUCACGAAAGUCGGGUCUAUUUUUACCCGCCCAAGCACUGUCAACUCGGCAGUAUUCCCCAAAAUACUUUAAAUAUGUACCUUCCACUCUAAUUGUUAUAUCUAACAAAAUUAAUUUAGAGAUAUCAGCUUAAGGGUUCGUAAGUACAUGCACACAUACACAUUCGACUGUCCAGUUUUAUUAGGAGUUGGAUCUCUUGGACGGGGACAAAAUGAGCUAGAUAAUUUCUUCAUAAAACUCGUUAUUGCUAAUUUGGCUUGUGUACAUAAAUAUACAUACAUGUAAUAUUGACAUUCGCAUUGUUAACAAAGUACUACAUAUACAACAACUAUACAAGGAAAAUAUUUGCUGUUAAUUUUCUUAAAUAUAUAUUAUUACUAACUUAAAUAUAUACGCCGAAACAAUUAAGUAUCUGUGUAAAUUAAGCAGACACAAGAGUAUUUUUUUUAUGAUUUUAGACAUUUUAACCCUUUUAAGCAUUAAUGGCAUUGUGGAAAAUACUGAAUACAAAAUUCAAAGGUAUAAAAAAUUUGUAAUUUGUAAUUUGUAAAAAUACCGAAAAAGGUUCAACAGCAAAGAAAUAUAAACAAGCGAAUUUGUAAAGUAAUAAGUAACCAACAAUACUUAGUAUAAAUUUACCACACUUACAUGCAAAUGUAUUGUAUUUGUGUAACAUAAAUUACAACAAAAAUAGUUGUCUUAAGAAUCAAACACUAUUACUAACACAAAUUCUUCGAAUUGGGCGAAAUCGAAGGAAAUCAAAAUAUUAAUGAAAAUAACCGAUGAUUAAUUGGUAAUCAGCAAUUACCAAUUAGUUAAAGUUAGUACAGAAAUUGAGGCGUCCGAAGGCUUGAAAAUAACUGUGACUUCUUUCUUUAUUUCAUUCAGAUUUGUUAUUAUUUUGCUAAGAAAGCAACCAUGACACCACAAGAAUCAAUGAAGAAACCAAAAAUAAGUAUAUAAUAUUUGAGAUGUUGAUAUAUUUAGUGUAAUGACAAUUUGAACGAAGGUUCGAAGGCGAAAAGCUGUAAUAAUUGUUACUAAAACCACUCAUGUGAAUGGAGGCAGACAUUUGAAUUCGAAAAAAAACUGUUAAUGCUGAACAAUGCUUGUAUGAACGCUGGAAAAUGUUGAUCAUUUAGGACAAGUAAUUGCAAUAAUAUAAUUGAAUUAAGACAGAUUGAAAACAAAACGAGCGAUGUGCAUAAGCAUUAACAGUAAAAUAUUUAGCAGAAAGUUAAUUGCGCAAGAAACAGUUAAAUGUAUGUAAGAGUAAUAUAUUUAAGGAAACAAUAUUAUUAUUACUAUAUAUUGGAUGAUGGUGAUUUUAAAGAAAAAACUACACAAAAA